GACGAACGCUGGCGGCGUGCUUAACACAUGCAAGUCGAGCGGUAAGGCCCUUUCGGGGGUACACGAGCGGCGAACGGGUGAGUAACACGUGGGUGACCUGCCCUCAGCUCUGGGAUAAGCCUGGGAAACCGGGUCUAAUACCGGAUAUGACUCCAUGACGCAUGUUGUGGGGUGGAAAGCCUUGUGCGGCUGAGGAUGGGCCCGCGGCCUAUCAGCUUGUUGGUGGGGUGAUGGCCUACCAAGGCGACGACGGGUAGCCGGCCUGAGAGGGCGACCGGCCACACUGGGGACUGAGACACGGCCCAGACUCCUACGGGAGGUCAGCAGUGGGGAAUCUUGCGCAAUGGGCGAAAGCCUGACGCAGCGACGCCGCGUGAGGGAUGACGGCCU
rnacentral:rRNA from 1 species